rnacentral:rRNA from 1 species
CCUACGGGAGGCAGCAGUGGGGAAUAUUGGACAAUGGGGGGAACCCUGAUCCAGCCAUGCCGCGUGUGUGAAGAAGGCCCUCGGGUUGUAAAGCACUUUCAGUGAGGAAGAACGCCUGGUGGUUAAUACCCAUCAGGAAAGACAUCACUCACAGAAGAAGCACCGGCUAACUCCGUGCCAGCAGCCGCGGUAAUACGGAGGGUGCGAGCGUUAAUCGGAAUUACUGGGCGUAAAGCGCGCGUAGGUGGCUUGAUAAGCCGGUUGUGAAAGCCCCGGGCUCAACCUGGGAACGGCAUCCGGAACUGUCAAGCUAGAGUGCAGGAGAGGAAGGUAGAAUUCCCGGUGGAGCGGUGAAAUGCGUAGAGAUCGGGAGGAAUACCAGUGGCGAAGGCGGCCUUCUGGACUGACACUGACACUGAGGUGCGAAAGCGUGGGUAGCAAACAGGAUUAGAUACCCUAGUAGUC